GUUGGGGUCAAUGCUGUAGUGGAAGCAAUACUCCGUCUGACUGAAAAGGGUGCCUGCUAAGUGCUUUCAUGACAUGUUUGCAGUACUCGGCGUCUGUGUGCAUGCACAUGUGUGCAUUCCAAUAUUUACAGAUAGGAUCCGUUCGAAUUCAGAAUGACACAUUGUUGUGGGUCAGCUGGUUGGGGUGUUUGAAUACCGAUUUUCGUUCGAAAACCAAGCAUAUGCAGAGCCAGGGCCUGAGUGAAAACUUCCAUCAUGUAAGGUGUCAAAUUUGUGAUGUGAUAAGUCUUUCGAGGCUCAACUAUUUUACAUAAAAAUGCAAUUUUGCCAAUUAGUCUAGCUAUCUGACAGAAAACCUUGCAAGCAUUAACACUAAUGAAUAACAAUGACAC